GGUUGGGAUAGCGCAAGUGAGCUGAACUUCUCCGCUGGUGUUACUGUACUAUCCUCAAUUUAAUACUUUAUUUGAGCAAUUAUUUUCUUUGAUGAAACUAGCACGUGUUUCGCGUGGUUUGUAAGGGCAUAUUUAAGAAAUAUUGAAUUUGGUCUUCCAAUAAUUAAAGGGCUGAUUGAGAAGUUUAGCGAUAUUCUGGUUUUCCACGGUUUCCUGUGCCAUCAAAACUUGUGAUUUCUGAAAGCAGGUAAGCCACUGACUAACGCACAUUGCGCCUAUUCUCCACUCCACUGUGCGUGUGACAGCGGCUAACCAGCUUUUGGAUUUGCACCUGACAUCAGCGCCGUGGUAAUGUCCCACUGGAGACUAUCUAAAGGAUCAAGGCGGACACAGUCACCGGAGCGACGCUUUAGGAUCCACUGUCCCUCUACAUGACUUUUUGGUCUUGGUAAAGCACUUGAAACACUAACUUAGGGUUGUGCGUUUAAUCCCCGCGGUGCGCAUGUUCUGAAUAAAUGAGUGCCUUGUGUGAUCGGUGUACAUGUACAUUUUUAUGACAUCAGCCUGCUUACAGUGUCACCGCCGUGCUAGAAAUACGGUGUAAAUAUGAUCAUGUGCAGUCUGGUUGGCAAAGGAUUAAACUUGUGCCUGUUGACUAA